rnacentral:rRNA from 1 species
UAGGGAAUAUUAGUAAUGGGCGAAAGCCUGAACUAGCAACGCCGCGUGUGCGAAGAAGGCCUUCGGGUUGUAAAGCACUUUUUGAGAGGAUGAGGAAGGACGGUACUCUCAGAAUAAGUCUCGGCUAACUACGUGCCAGCAGCCGCGGUAACACGUAGGAGGCAAACGUUAUCCGGAUUUACUGGGCGUAAAGCGCGUGUAGGUGGUUUGGUAAGUAGGGCGUGAAAGCUCCUGGCUCAACUGGGAGAGGACGUUCUAAACUGCCAAGCUUGAGGAUGGGAGAGGGAGGUGGAAUGCCGGGUGUGGCGGUGGAAUGCGCAGAUAGCCGGAGGAACACCAGUGGCGAAGGCGGCCUCCUGGACCACUCCUGAC